rnacentral:rRNA from 1 species
UGCCAGCAGCCGCGGGAAUACGGAGGGUGCAAGCGUUGUUCGGAAUUACUGGGCGUAAAGCGCGCGUAGGCGGCUAUUUAAGUCAGAUGUGAAAGCCCUGGGCUCAACCUGGGAACUGCAUUCGAUACUGGGUAGCUAGAAUUUGAGAGAGGCAAGUGGAAUUUCCGGUGUAGCGGUGAAAUGCAUAGAGAUCGGAAGGAACACCAGUGGCGAAGGCGACUUGCUGGCUCAAAAUUGACGCUGAGGUGCGAAAGCGUGGGUAGCAAACAGGAUUAGAUA